UAUUAACGACUCUCGACAACGGAUAUCUCGGCUCUCGCAUCGAUGAAGAACGUAGCGAAAUGCGAUACUUGGUGUGAAUUGCAGAAUCCCGUGAACCAUCGAGUCUUUGAACGCAAGUUGCGCCCGAAGCCUUCUGGCCGAGGGCACGUCUGCCUGGGCGUCAUGC
rnacentral:rRNA from 1 species